UCCCAAAUGGUCUAGUGGUUAGGAUUCUCGGCUUUCACCCGGGCGGCCCGGGUUGAAUUUCCGGUUUUGGAA